rnacentral:lncRNA from 1 species
CCCACACAUACUUCAAAUCAUCAUAUGUUGAGUCAAUCAUGCAUUUUAUUUCACAUGUUCAUAUUCAUAUAAAUUAGUAAUCAACCACAUUUCAAAUCCAUGCAUCAAGAUCAUUCAAAAUCUCAAGUAAAAUUAUCUAGAAAAUCCACUUAGGAAUGUAUGAGAAGAUAUUCAAUAAAUCCUUUACUGAAACCUUUAAGCUUUUAGAGAUCGGUUUGCUUUUUGGAAGGAGAAAGAAAUGUGGCUGGUAGAGUCUUUGAGUGAAGUAGUU